rnacentral:lncRNA from 1 species
UGCGAAAUUCCCCAGCCGACCACCCCUCUGCUGUCUUCCACUCUACUUCUCUUUUAUUUUACUUUUUGACCAAUCAAACCUAAUCUUUCUCUCUUCUCUCUCUCAUCUCUCUCUCUCUCUCUCGUCACUCUUUCUUCUUCCUUCUUCUCUGUGCAAACGAACGAACCAGCUUUUCUUCUCCUUCUUUUCUUCGCGUGCGAACCAGGAGCUCGGAGAUUGCAGCUCGCCGAGAACCGCUCGUCGCUCGUCCCGCCGCCGCAUCGCCGCACCGCCGCCCGCGCCCGUGCGCCCGUCGCCGUCCGUCGCUUGCUGCCGCUCCUCCCUCCGCGCGAUCCAGCUCCCGUUCGGUCUCUGUUCAGCCACUGUGAGCGGCUGAGCAGGCCGCCGGAGCCGCCGUCCAGCCUCACCGGAGCCCCGCCCGCUCUCCCGACCUCUUACCACCCCCAACCCUCUCUUUUUCUCCUCUGUUUUGCAGCAACCCAGCAAGUUGCGGAAUGGGUUUCAACAGCUUCGGGCCCGCUUUUGGGCCGUUUCUCGGCCCCGGAUCCGCGAGUCGCUUUGGGAAGUUUUGUUCCUCGCGUCGCCGCCGUCGGAUUGAUCCGAUUUGUGUGCGAUUUGGUGAGUAAUCUCACUAAUCUUGGAUUAGUUGGCUAAUUAUGCUUAAGGUUGGUUUAGAUUUAAUUAAUUAGGUUUAGGUUGUUAGAUUAGAAUAAAUUAGCAAUUAUUAGUGAAUUGUGAUGCGAUUUAGAUGAAUUGAUUGCGCAAUUAGCAAGUAGACGUGGUCUACUAAUUAUUGGAAGUGCUUCGUGAAUUUUCCCGACCCUUAGUGGGCUCCAAUUAGGCUUUUCGGGCCUAAAAGGAUAUUUUUGUAUUUAAAUAUUAAUUUUCGGAAUUAAUUAAAUAAUUAUUUAUUUUCCGAAAAUUCAACUGAGAUGGUCUGGAACCGGAAAAUUAUGCUGAUGAUCGUGGUGAAGUCUGUUUAUGAAAUCGGGCUUUAUUUUGAGCUAAAUUGAAUUUUUAAUAAUAAUUAUUUAAUUUUCGAAAUUAAUAAAUUAAUUAAUUAUUUUUCGGAAAUUAAGAUUUUGAUGGCUGUCGACCGAAAUCUCGUGCUGAUCAUCGUGGCACAGUCCAUUUAUUUAUUUGAGCUCCACGUUGCAUGGAAUUAAAUAAAUUGUGAUAUUUUAGGGAUUUAUCCUAAAUUGAUUGGAAUUGAUUGAGAUUGAAUUAUUGAUUGGUAAAUGGCCAAGUAUGUUUAUUCGGCAUUUGCAAUGCUUUGUUGAGUUGUAAAGUGAGUAAAAUUGUGAGAGUGAUUUGAAUAUACUCUUGGCUGAGAUCCAUCAGGUAUGUUAAUAUCGUGUGAAAAUUGAGUGAGUUGAUGAGUAUGUGGGGAUUCAUCCCAAGAUUGAUCAAUGUCGGUAUUCAAUUAGAAUUUGACUAUGAGAGGUUGUGAGUUGAACCUCGGAAGCCGCCGAAGUAUGGCUAUGCCAGUUGGGCCGAGAUUUGCCACCGAAUUUGGAGUCGGUCGCGCCUGAUAAGGCCGUAAUCUGCCACCUAUUAAAGGUCGCGCCUGUUAAGGCCGUAAUUUGCCACCAUUAAAGGUCGUGCCCAUUGGGCCGUAAUUUGCUACCUAAAGAUAGGUCGUGUCCUUCGGGACUGUAAUUUGUUGCCAAGAAAUUUGGUAGUCUAUGCUUGUGAAGUCGUGAGUACGAUUUGAACUUGAAUAAGGGAAACGACUGGGGAAUGGUCGAAUUGACAUGAAAUCGACUAGGUCGAUGGAUCGAGAUAUUGAUCUAUGAUGUAAUUGCUUGGGUGCCUAUUGAACCGUGCUAAUAUGCAGGUGGAGUCUGAGGCCAAGGUAAGUCCUCUGCCCUGUGCGUGUUUAGGCAGCCUAUAGUAUAAUAGUUUACUAAUCGGGCUUAGUGGGGUAGAACUCGCUGAGACGUAGUCUCAUCCCAGUUUGGGGAAAAACAUUUCAGGACCCCGCUGAAGAGCUGAGGAGGAGGAAUCCGAGAAGGAGAACUCGGAGGUGAGAUCUGAAGAAAAGGAUUUUUGGAAGAAGAAGACAAUUCUGAGAGGGGCCUUGAGUACGGCCUAGUUCAUCUAAGUUUCUGUCUUCUUUUGAGAUCUCCGUUUUGAUGUGAAUAGUUAUGAAAGGGUUUGUGGUUUGUAUAAAAGUGUGGUUAUAAAUUUCAAUAUGAAAAAUAUGACCCUGCUUUUCUAUCCCAUCGUUUUAUUGUCUGGGGAUUUUAACUGCUUCCGCAUGUGCUAAAUAAAUGAAAGGGUCGGCGAUA